CCACAUACAGUAUCUGUGUAAUAUGUUUGUGUGGACAUGCGUGUGGGUAUGGAAGAGAAAGAAAAAUAUAGUAUUUUUCUGUUCCUCUUUGUGUAGUUUUGAGAAGCUCUUUGUGUGUAGACGUGGUGUGUGUCUGAGAGAGAAGGCAUGUGUGUGAGAGAGAGAAUAUACUGUAAAGGGCCACAUAAAUCAUUCAGAACAUUAUGUGCUGUGCGAUGAGGGCGGUGCAGGAGCUAAGCUAUGUGCUUUACUGUAAGUUAGAGUGCAAGUGCAUGGCAUACUAUACAGUACACACCACAUUACCAUUUAGUGUGUUCUCUGAGAGAGAGGGGUGCAUGCUAUACGUUCAUACUAGCCGGGAGGGGGAGGGGGGUACUGUAUGUGUGGCAGUAACCAGCACCUGGAGACAGAGGGAGAUGGACGGAGGUUGAGAACGAUGGGGAUUCAUAGAGUAGGAUGAUAGAUGGACGGAGGUUGAGAACGAUGGGGAUGCAUAGAGUAGGAUGAUAGAUGGACGGAGGUUGAGAACGAUGGGGAUGCAUAGAGUAGGAUGAUAGAUGGACGGCGGUUGAGAACGAUGGGGAUGCAUAGAGUAGGAUGAUAGAUGGACGGAGGUUGAGAACGAUGGGGAUGCAUUGGAGUAGGAUGAUAGAUGGACGGCGGUUGAGAACAAUGGGGAUGCAAAGAGUAGGAUGAUAGAUGGAUGCGGAGGAAUGUUUCUGCCAUAAAGUGCCCAACCUUCCACAUACUCCUGAUGUGGAAGUCAUCUGUUUGAAUACAACGCCCCUUCAACAACAAUAUGAGCUACCACACCAACCCUUCCACAUGCGUGCGCAGAUAUGAUCAACGUUAUAAAAUAGACUGCCAGCCAUUUGCGUGGUGCAAGUGAUUUAGCCUAUAGAUUGAACAGAUGGACGGACAUACAGACAUGUACUGUAGACAGACAGUGUUUGUGCAGUAUGUUUCCAGUGGAGACUAGCUGACUUGCUGUUCACUGUUGCUGCUGUUGCAUAUGGGGACUGGAGCUGGGAGAGAGCAGGGCAUUGUGGGAGUAGUCUGGUUCUAGUUGGUUGGCUCUGGCUCCAGCAGGCAGCCAUGGCCCAGCCACGCUCUGACAGCAGAAAGAGAGAGAGGGAAGGAGAAAGAGAGGGCCUGUAAUUAGCACCAGGGUCUGUCUUCCGCAUUCCACAUCUGUAACUUACAGAGUGUAGUGGACUGCCUGCCUGCCUGCCUACCUGCUUGCAUGUCUGUCUGCUGAGCCGACAGAGCGUCCAGCUCCCUGCCACAAUACCUUGUCUUCCCUUCCCUCCACUGGCUGAGCAUAUCCAGACCCUCUCUCUCUCUCUAUGCCCCCCUCUCUCUCUCUCUCUCUCUCUCUAUGCCUCUCUCUCUCUCUCUAUGCCUCUCUCUCUCUCUCUAUGCCCCUCUCUCUCUAUGCCUCUCUCUCUCUCUCUCUCUCUCUCUCUCUCUCUCUCUCUCUCUCUCUAUGCCUCUCUCUCUCCCUCUCUCUCUGCCUCUCCCUCUCAGUUCAAUUUAAGGGACUUAAUUGGCAUAGGAAAUGUCUCUCUCUCUCUCGCUCUCUCUCUCUCUGCGUGUGUGUUCGUCUUGCUAUAUCCAUUUGUGACUCCUUCUCUGUGAGCACGAGAUUUCUCUCAAUGCUUCCAGCAUUUCCCUCUUCUCAUUCUCUUCUCUCUACCCUCUCUUCCUGUCUCCAUCUCUGC
ensembl:lncRNA